CUUCAGAGGAGGCUCUUCUGAGGCUGCUGCCAGUGGUCAAAGCCUCCAACAAAGUUCUACUGAGUGACUGUGACCUCUCAGAGAGAAGCUGUGAAGCUCUGUCCUCAGUCCUCAGCUCCCAGUCCUCUCGUCUGAGAGAAUUGGAUCUGAGCUACAACGGCCUGCAGGAUUCAGGCGUGAAGCUGCUGUCUGCUGGACUGGAGAGUCCACACUGUGACCUGGAGACUCUCAGGCUGUCAGGCUGUCUGAUCACAGAGGAAGGCUGUUCUUCUCUGGCCUCAGCUCUGAGCUCCAACCCCUCCCAUCUGAGAGAGCUGGACCUGAGCUACAAUCAUCCAGGAGACUCAGGAGUGAAGCUGUUGUCUGCUGGCCUGGAUAAUCCGCACUGGAGACUGGAGACUCUCAGGGUGGAGCCUGCUGGAGUCCGAUGGUUCAGACCAGGUCUG